CCCCACCCCCCAGUUGCCAUGACCACUCCAAUGGUUCCCAGCCCAUGUUCUGCCGGCUUCUUCCACUUCAAAACAAUCCCCACCCCACUGCUGCAGUCAACAUUCUGGAAUCCACCUCCUGCCUCCAGAACUCAGUUGACCGCAGCAUAAUCUAGCACCUUAGGUUUAUGGAAACAAACUCCUGGAUGUUCCAGAGGAAGAGGCAGUGAGGAACAGCACUAGAGUAGCACUGCAGUGAGCAGAGUCCAAGGCCACCUUGAAGCAGGCAGGUCCUUCCAGACAGCCACUGAGGCUCAUCAGGAUAGAGCCCUCCUUCCUUCCACCGCUGCCCCAGGCUCCCCAAAUGCACAGGGCUCUAACCCCUCCAAGCCUUUGCAAAGGCUGUUCCAUGGAGCUGCACAAUCUCCUGCCACUGCACCCAGACAGAGAGUGCCCCACUGUCCCAAUUUUAAUACUGAAAGCCCCAUGUCCCAGGACCCUCUCAGUCCCAGGCAACCCAGGAGGGUUGGUCCUUACAGGUAACUCCAGUGCAUCCUUCAGGGCUGCCUCUUCCAGGAAGCCUUCCCUGAGCCCUCAAGCCUGGAUCAGCUGUCCCUCAUCUGCACCACCUGGCUCUUGCCUGCAAUGUUACUUUGUGUUUUAGUGGCCUGCUUACCUCCCUGCCUCCCUGCCUGAAGGCAGUGACUCAAUUUUGUCAAGCUGGACUUGGUAUUACUUAACCAGAGGAAAUGGCAUGGCCCCUGCCAGCUGGCAUUCAGGCCAGUGGGUAUGUCAGACAAGUUCACCAAUGCCCAUUGGUUCAAACAAUGAAGUAUUUACUAGAUGCCAGGCUUAUGCCAGGGCUGAUACCAGACAGGAGACUGUCCCAGCCUGCCUACAAGGGGCUUUGCCUGCAAGCCAACACACCAAGCAGCAUGGGUUAUGUGCUGGGCAAAGGCUGAGGGAAAGGGUUGGCAAACAUUUUCUGUAAAGGGCCAGACAGUAAACAUUUUGUCCCAAAUGCUCAACUCUAGCUGUAGUGGGACACUGGCAGAGGCAUUCUGUAAAUUACCAAUGUAUUCCAAUAAAACUUUACUUAUG